GAUUAAGUUAUUAAGGGCGCACGGUGGAUGCCUUGGCACUAGAAGCCGAUGAAGGACGUUACUAACGACGAUAUGCUUUGGGGAGCUGUAAGUAAGCUUUGAUCCAGAGAUUUCCGAAUGGGGAAACCCAGCAUGAGUUAUGUCAUGUUAUCGAUAUGUGAAUACAUAGCAUAUCAGAAGGCACACCCGGAGAACUGAAACAUCUUAGUACCCGGAGGAAGAGAAAGAAAAUUCGAUUCCCUUAGUAGCGGCGAGCGAAACGGGAAGAGCCCAAACCAACAAGCUUGCUUGUUGGGGUUGUAGGACACUCUAUACGGAGUUACAAAGGACGACAUUAGACGAAUCAUCUGGAAAGAUGAAUCAAAGAAGGUAAUAAUCCUGUAGUCGAAAAUGUUGUCUCUCUUGAGUGGAUCCUGAGUACGACGGAGCACGUGAAAUUCCGUCGGAAUCUGGGAGGACCAUCUCCUAAGGCUAAAUACUCUCUAGUGACCGAUAGUGAACCAGUACCGUGAGGGAAAGGUGAAAAGCACCCCGGAAGGGGAGUGAAAUAGAACCUGAAACCGUGUGCUUACAAGUAGUCAGAGCCCGUUAAUGGGUGAUGGCGUGCCUUUUGUAGAAUGAACCGGCGAGUUACGAUUUGAUGCAAGGUUAAGCAGUAAAUGUGGAGCCGUAGCGAAAGCGAGUCUGAAUAGGGCGUUUAGUAUUUGGUCGUAGACCCGAAACCAGGUGAUCUACCCUUGGUCAGGUUGAAGUUCAGGUAACACUGAAUGGAGGACCGAACCGACUUACGUUGAAAAGUGAGCGGAUGAACUGAGGGUAGCGGAGAAAUUCCAAUCGAACCUGGAGAUAGCUGGUUCUCUCCGAAAUAGCUUUAGGGCUAGCCUCAAGUGAUGAUUAUUGGAGGUAGAGCACUGUUUGGACGAGGGGCCCCUCUCGGGUUACCGAAUUCAGACAAACUCCGAAUGCCAAUUAAUUUAACUUGGGAGUCAGAACAUGGGUGAUAAGGUCCGUGUUCGAAAGGGAAACAGCCCAGACCACCAGCUAAGGUCCCAAAAUAUAUGUUAAGUGGAAAAGGAUGUGGCGUUGCCCAGACAACUAGGAUGUUGGCUUAGAAGCAGCCAUCAUUUAAAGAGUGCGUAAUAGCUCACUAGUCGAGUGACACUGCGCCGAAAAUGUACCGGGGCUAAACAUAUUACCGAAGCUGUGGAUUGUCCUUUGGACAAUGGUAGGAGAGCGUUCUAAGGGCGUUGAAGCAUGAUCGUAAGGACAUGUGGAGCGCUUAGAAGUGAGAAUGCCGGUGUGAGUAGCGAAAGACGGGUGAGAAUCCCGUCCACCGAUUGACUAAGGUUUCCAGAGGAAGGCUCGUCCGCUCUGGGUUAGUCGGGUCCUAAGCUGAGGCCGACAGGCGUAGGCGAUGGAUAACAGGUUGAUAUUCCUGUACCACCUAUAAUCGUUUUAAUCGAUGGGGGGACGCAGUAGGAUAGGCGAAGCGUGCGAUUGGAUUGCACGUCUAAGCAGUAAGGCUGAGUAUUAGGCAAAUCCGGUACUCGUUAAGGCUGAGCUGUGAUGGGGAGAAGACAUUGUGUCUUCGAGUCGUUGAUUUCACACUGCCGAGAAAAGCCUCUAGAUAGAAAAUAGGUGCCCGUACCGCAAACCGACACAGGUAGUCAAGAUGAGAAUUCUAAGGUGAGCGAGCGAACUCUCGUUAAGGAACUCGGCAAAAUGACCCCGUAACUUCGGGAGAAGGGGUGCUCUUUAGGGUUAACGCCCAGAAGAGCCGCAGUGAAUAGGCCCAAGCGACUGUUUAUCAAAAACACAGGUCUCUGCUAAACCGUAAGGUGAUGUAUAGGGGCUGACGCCUGCCCGGUGCUGGAAGGUUAAGAGGAGUGGUUAGCUUCUGCGAAGCUACGAAUCGAAGCCCCAGUAAACGGCGGCCGUAACUAUAACGGUCCUAAGGUAGCGAAAUUCCUUGUCGGGUAAGUUCCGACCCGCACGAAAGGCGUAACGAUUUGGGCACUGUCUCAACGAGAGACUCGGUGAAAUCAUAGUACCUGUGAAGAUGCAGGUUACCCGCGACAGGACGGAAAGACCCCGUGGAGCUUUACUGUAGCCUGAUAUUGAAAUUCGGCACAGCUUGUACAGGAUAGGUAGGAGCCUUUGAAACGUGAGCGCUAGCUUACGUGGAGGCGCUGGUGGGAUACUACCCUAGCUGUGUUGGCUUUCUAACCCGCACCACUUAUCGUGGUGGGAGACAGUGUCAGGCGGGCAGUUUGACUGGGGCGGUCGCCUCCUAAAAGGUAACGGAGGCGCUCAAAGGUUCCCUCAGAAUGGUUGGAAAUCAUUCAUAGAGUGUAAAGGCAUAAGGGAGCUUGACUGCGAGACCUACAAGUCGAGCAGGGUCGAAAGACGGACUUAGUGAUCCGGUGGUUCCGCAUGGAAGGGCCAUCGCUCAACGGAUAAAAGCUACCCCGGGGAUAACAGGCUUAUCUCCCCCAAGAGUUCACAUCGACGGGGAGGUUUGGCACCUCGAUGUCGGCUCAUCGCAUCCUGGGGCUGUAGUCGGUCCCAAGGGUUGGGCUGUUCGCCCAUUAAAGCGGUACGCGAGCUGGGUUCAGAACGUCGUGAGACAGUUCGGUCCCUAUCCGUCGUGGGCGUAGGAAAUUUGAGAGGAGCUGUCCUUAGUACGAGAGGACCGGGAUGGACAUACCUCUGGUGUACCAGUUGUUGUGCCAACGGCAUAGCUGGGUAGCUAUGUGUGGACGGGAUAAGUGCUGAAAGCAUCUAAGCAUGAAGCCCCCCUCAAGAUGAGAUUUCCCAACUUCGGUUAUAAGAUCCCUCAAAGAUGAUGAGGUUAAUAGGUUCGAGGUGGAAGCAUGGUGACAUGUGGAGCUGACGAAUACUAAUCGAUCGAAGACUUAAUCAA
rnacentral:rRNA from 1 species